UAAAAAACUUAUAAUGAAUUUGUUCAUCAUCAUCGGUUGCUUUUCUUCCAUAAAAUUAUGAGUAACAGUUUUUGUAUAAUUCAGGAUAUACAGAUAGUAUUUAAGCAAAGUAUUGAGCUCCUGAAUAACAAUAUCUUACAAGGAGAGUUUAGAUAAAAACAAAAACAAAGACGAGAAGAAUACAAGAUGAAAGUAGUGCUAUUUGCAUUUUUGGCCUUUCUUUUCUGUUGUUCUGGGACUACAGAUGGAGCUGUAUGCGGCGGAAGAACUUACAACCCUUUAUUCAUAAUUUGUUGUAAUGGCGUGCAGUGGACUAGAGGAAUAAAUACGUCAUGUUGUGGGGCAUUUCCGUACAAUCAUAUUAACACGAUUUGUUGCAAUGGCAUGUUAAAUUAUAAAGGAUUGAAUUGGGCAUGUUGUGGGAGAACAGCGUUCAACCCUACUUCCCAGGUUUGCUGUUUUGGCAGGCCGAGGAAUGGUAGAUCUUGCUUUUAGACAAGAUCUUACAAACAUACUUUAAACAACUGGUGCAAUGGAUAUUUGUGCUAAUAUCUUUUAAGUGAAUUCAUGAGUGGACAAAAACUUCAUUGGAUGAAAAUUUAACAAAAGUUUACCUAAAUGACCAAUAUCUUAUUAAAAAUUGGAACACGUGAAAAUAUACAGACAAUUUUGAAUUUUUCUUUUAUGUUAAUAUGAAUUUUUACAGACAAACAGUCCUUAAUUGUAAAUUUAUUUUCAUUGUAUUGUAAUGUUUAUAUGUUAUGUGUUUGAUUAAUCAUAUGCAUUUGAAUUAUUAUUGUACAUUGAUAUGUUAUCUUGUCUUGGCCAUAUUCUAUAAUUAUUAACUUGUAAAUGGCCAAAGGCAUAUUUAUGCCGAUUGCUAAAUAAAGAUUGAAUUGAAUUGAA